UAAGGAAUAUUGGUCAAUGGACGCAAGUCUGAACCAGCCAUGCCGCGUGAAGGAUGAAGGUCCUCUGGAUUGUAAACUUCUUUUAUAUGGGAAGAAAUGUUCUGAUUCUUCAGAGCUUGACGGUACCAUAGGAAUAAGCACCGGCUAACUCCGUGCCAGCAGCCGCGGUAAUACGGAGGGUGCAAGCGUUAUCCGGAUUCACUGGGUUUAAAGGGUGCGUAGGAGGGCAGAUAAGUCAGUGGUGAAAUCUUCCGGCUUAACCGGAAAAUUGCCGUUGNUACUACUUGUCUUGAAUAUUGUGGAGGUAAGCGGAAUAUGUCAUGUAGCGGUGAAAUGCUUAGAUAUGACAUAGAACACCAAUUGCGAAGGCAGCUUACUAUAUAAUUAUUGACACUGAGGCACGAAAUCGUGGGUAGCGAACA
rnacentral:rRNA from 1 species